rnacentral:rRNA from 1 species
GAUGAACGCUGGCGGCGUGCCUAAUACAUGCAAGUCGAGCGAACAGACGAGGAGCUUACUCCUCUGACGUUAGCGGCGGACGGGUGAGUAACACGUGGAUAACCUACCUAUAAGACUGGGAUAACUUCGGGAAACCGGAGCUAAUACCGGAUAACAUGUUGAACCGCAUGGUUCAACAGUGAAAGACGGUCUUGCUGUCACUUAUAGAUGGAUCCGCGUCGCAUUAGCUAGUUGGUAAGGUAACGGCUUACCAAGGCAACGAUGCGUAGCCGACCUGAGAGGGGGAUCGGCCACACUGGAACGGGGGCACGGUCCAGACUCCUACGGGUGGCAGCAGUAGGGAAUCUUCCGCAAUGGGCGAAAGCCUGACGGAGCAACGCCGCGUGAGUGAAGAAGGUCUUCGGAUCGUAGAACUCUGUUAUUAGGGAAGAACGAAUGUGUAAGUAACUAUGCACGUCUUGACGGUACCUAAUCAGAAAGCCACGGCUAACUUCGUG